rnacentral:rRNA from 2 species
UGGGGAAUCUUAGACAAUGGGCGCAAGCCUGAUCUAGCCAUGCCGCGUGAGUGACGAAGGCCUUAGGGUCGUAAAGCUCUUUCGCCAGAGAUGAUAAUGACAGUAUCUGGUAAAGAAACCCCGGCUAACUCCGUGCCAGCAGCCGCGGUAAUACGGAGGGGGUUAGCGUUGUUCGGAAUUACUGGGCGUAAAGCGUACGUAGGCGGAUUGGAAAGUAGGGGGUGAAAUCCCAGGGCUCAACCCUGGAACUGCCUCCUAAACUAUCAGUCUAGAGUUCGAGAGAGGUGAGUGGAAUUCCAAGUGUAGAGGUGAAAUUCGUAGAUAUUUGGAGGAACACCAGUGGCGAAGGCGGCUCACUGGCUCGAUACUGACGCUGAGGUACGAAAGUGUGGGGAGCAAACA